rnacentral:sRNA from 1 species
GACGUCGGCGCACAUGACGAGCACUUUGCCGCCCGUUUCCUUGUUAGCCUGCGCCGCACCGAUCGCGGAAUUGGCCUCAGGCAUGAAGACGGCGCCGAGAUUCGGGUUGGCCUGGAUGAGGCUCGUGAGCCCCUGAUAGGCCUUGUUCGGGUCCUGGUUGGAAGCGGCCCGGCCGACGAGCUUCAUGUCGGGC